rnacentral:tRNA from 2 species
GCGGGUGUGGCGGAACUGGCAGACGCACCAGAUUUAGGUUCUGGCGCCGAAAGGCGUGGGGGUUCAAGUCCCUCCACCCGCACCA